AUUGAACGCUGGCGGCAGGCCUAACACAUGCAAGUCGAGCGGAUGAAGGGAGCUUGCUCCUGGAUUCAGCGGCGGACGGGUGAGUAAUGCCUAGGAAUCUGCCUGGUAGUGGGGGAUAACGUCCGGAAACGGGCGCUAAUACCGCAUACGUCCUGAGGGAGAAAGUGGGGGAUCUUCGGACCUCACGCUAUCAGAUGAGCCUAGGUCGGAUUAGCUAGUUGGUGGGGUAAAGGCCUACCAAGGCGACGAUCCGUAACUGGUCUGAGAGGAUGAUCAGUCACACCGGAACUGGGACACGGUCCAGACUCCUACGGGAGGCAGCAGUGGGGAAUAUUGGACAAUGGGCGAAAGCCUGAUCCAGCCAUGCCGCGUGUGUGAAGAAGGUCUUCGGAUUGUAAAGCACUUUAAGUUGGGAGGAAGGGCAGUAAGUUAAUACCUUGCUGUUUUGACGUUACCAACAGAAUAAGCACCGGCUAACUUCGUG
rnacentral:rRNA from 1 species